CUUGCCAAGGUCAGGCUGCCGGGGAGGUACUUCUGCUCUCUGUAGCUCCUCGGCGAGACUGACAGGGCUUUCGGCUGCUCAGCACCAGGCAGGCAGCCCUGGGGAGGAGGCUGCUUCCCUUCCUGAGGAUUCUUGUUUCCCAGGAAUAAGUAAUUCCUAAUAUUUUAGAAUCAUAGAAUGGCCUGGGUUGAAAAGGACCACAGUGACCAUCUAGUUUCAACCCCCCUGCUAUGUGCAGGGUCGCCAACCACCAGACCAGGCUGCCCAGAGCCACAUCCAGCCUGGCCUUGAAUGUCUCCAGCGAUGGGGCAUCC
ensembl:lncRNA